UUUACAUGUCUGUGCAUUUCUGGUCAUAAAAAAAUGUGUUUACACAUAUGUAGUCAAUAAACUGUGCAUCGCGAUUAAAAUCUGCACUCCAUAAAACUGUGCCUCAGAGCGUAACGACAAAAUUAAUUGCAGUCACAUGAAGGAGUAGGAAAUUGUAACAAGAUGGCGACCUGUGCAGUUGUUGGUGUUGGCGUAAUCUCUCUAGUACUUUUGGUUAUCCAUGUUGUGGCUGUAGCCACACCUGGCUGGGCUCUGAUCGAAAUAGAGGGAGAAGGAUCAUGUUACAUAGGACUGUUCCAAAUAUGCAUCGGAUCCAAGUGCUUCAGCUAUGAGGAAGGAGGCGAAGGUGUAUCAUUAAGCCAUAUAGCGUAUGUGGGCCUUCACGUUGUUGGAGCCAUUCUUCUGUUGGCAAAUGGUGUAAACAGCCUGCGUUACUUCCGUCCCUUACCGGAUGGACAGGCACGUUCCAUGGCCACAAAAGUGGCUAUCGUGUUCGGUGCUGCGAGUAAGUUGCAUCUGUUGCAAAUCAUGAGGAAAAAUAAUAAUAUUUUUGAAUUGUGACAGUAUUACCUUGAGGGCUGUUGUAUAUAUCGUUGCAAAGAAGUAAUAGCGACAGUGCGGACAAAGAAAUUGGUCAAAUUUGACAGGUGCAUCAAGCCUCAUUUUCGCUAUCACCAUGGGCUACGUUGCAACUCAAUUGGAGGCUUCUCCUGUCAUCACCACGUGUGUAACCCCGCCAUGCCCGCGGAUGGUUGUCGUGCAUUCAACCACCUUAAACCAGACAGGGUCUUCAUACCCAAUGACCAGCCCUGCAGGGUUUCCCCAGAACGAUCCUGCUAAUGGAUACGACCAGUAGUACGGGACCACGUCAAAGAGUAAGGUGAAAACGAGGCCAGUCAUCUACAAUAUAAAACUCCAUCAGUAACACGAACCACACCCCUUUGACUCACUAUGGUACUACAAACCCCUCUAAAAGACUCCGACAGUAUUAAUGCAUUUUUCUAUACUGUAUUAAUAUUCAUUCCCGAAUAUGCUGUUGUAAAUAGCAUAAACUUACAUCUAGAUAUUCGUCUGCCUGAUAACCAAACUACUCGGUAGUGAAACGGAUGUAAAACCACUCUAACCAACAGAAAUAUGGAUCUGAUGAACCUGAUAUCGAUAAACAAAUGAAAAAAUGCAUAUUAAAUAAAUCGAUCUGUCAUAAUAGCGACAUUGAAUUGUCAAAGUGUACGUUUGCUUACAUUUGAAUUUGAUAUUAGUUUUUUACAGUCAGACGGAAUUGAGCUGCUUCAUAAAAUUCAACUGACAUAAAGCUGAUAAGAACAUUCAGAACGCUCUUUUGCAAGAAAUUUGACUAUUCGAUGAUUUUUUUCUGUGCGUGAAUUUUUCAUUCCAGAAUGUUUUUAAGUAAUUAGACGCCUGUUGUUUUCUCCUGUAUCAAGGUGUUAUUUUUAACAAUUCAAAGUGUUUAUAUAGCAUGGAUUACGUUAAAAAAAAAUAUCACAAACAAAGUUUAACGAGUUUUUUGAAUACUGAAAAAUGUGUAACAUCAGAAGCGAUAAAUAGCAUUAUUUUGAAUAUGCUUUUUGCAAUAGUUAUCAAAAUGGAAACUUUGUUUUGUAGACAAUUCUGAAAAGGUACCUUGAAAAAAGGACACUACAAACAGAUUGAUUAUCCCCAAUAUCAGUUUUCAGCAAAUAUUAUCUGGAGUAUUGGUCCGUGAAAAGAAAAACAAAUACCUCAUCACCACAAAAAGAGUUGUAUUUAAAGAGUUGAAAUUUGUUUACAGGUUAAAAGCAGGUUUCGUCCAUUUGGAUAUUACAUUUCAGCACUACAGUACGUAGAGUUAAUGAAUUUUGGGUUCGUUUUAAUAAGUCCAUAAAUGCAUUUAUAAUAGUCUACGUGUUUAUGAUCUAUGUUCGAAAUGUUGUUUAGUGCUUUGCUCAACCUCUUCUAUAUCUGUGGUUUGAUAAGCGAGGUCCGCAGGGCUUAUAUAAUGCUUAUGUAAAUGCUACCGGAGUUUGUUACUAUGCACACAUACAGUUGUUUUCUUUCAGUGUUAAAUGAUCCAUACAGUUUGUACAGUGCAUACAUACCUGUAUCAAAAAGACUAUCUGGUCUGAAGUUUUCUCGUGUCAGUGACAUCUACCGCCCAGGUAAGGCAUAAUAUUUGGAAAUUUCAAGGGCCGUAAUCAUUUAAAAAUCCUUCCAUAAUUAGUUUCAUUACCGAAUAAUACUGUACGUGUCCGUCUUAAAUGCGUGUUCUUUAAACAAAAAUAUGUAUUAUCCUGAAAUUAUAGCAAACGACAAAAUGUCUCCGUAUUGAAAACUUUUAGUCGGUGACCCUUCAAAUUUAUUAUAGUUUAUUAACCUGAAUGUAAUUUUGAAGAGGUAUGAAAUGCUUCAGAAAGACGACUCAUCAUGUGUUUUCAUUUAAUACGAACCAGCAAGCUUCCUUAACGGAGCAUUCUCGAGAAGUUAAAAACGGAUGGGGGGAUAGUUCUUAACACAAGUGGUCUCUUAAUACAGGUUCAGUUAAUAAUAACCUUAAACGUAAUCUCUUAGCACAUGGUAUGUUUUAAAACAGGUGGUGACAACGUAGGAUUAACUGUAUUCGUAUGCGCUUAAUUUGUCUUGCCAUUCUAUUAUAUACUACUCUUGCUAUCACCUUAUAUAUGGUAUAGGAAAUGCAAUUAUUAUAUGCAUUGCAGUAGCAAGUUUUAUCUAUAUUGUUCUCAUUCAACCUGUUAUUUUGAAAACAUGAUUGCUUACAUUAUGUAUUGCUUUUAAUUUUGAAUACAUUGUAUAUUGCUAUCAAAA